rnacentral:rRNA from 1 species
CGUCGUGAAGAGGGAAACAACCCAGACCGCCAGCUAAGGUCCCAAAGUCAUGGUUAAGUGGGAAACGAUGUGGGAAGGCCCAGACAGCCAGGAUGUUGGCUUAGAAGCAGCCAUCAUUUAAAGAAAGCGUAAUAGCUCACUGGUCGAGUCGGCCUGCGCGGAAGAUGUAACGGGGCUAAACCAUGCACCGAAGCUGCGGCAGCGACGCUUAUGCGUUGUUGGGUAGGGGAGCGUUCUGUAAGCCUGUGAAGGUGUGCUGUGAGGCAUGCUGGAGGUAUCAGAAGUGCGAAUGCUGACAUAAGUAACGAUAAAGCGGGUGAAAAGCCCGCUCGCCGGAAGACCAAGGGUUCCUGUCCAACGUUAAUCGGGGCAGGGUGAGUCGACCCCUAAGGCGAGGCCGAAAGGCGUAGUCGAUGGGAAACAGGUUAAUAUUCCUGUACUUGGUGUUACUGCGAAGGGGGGACGGAGAAGGCUAUGUUGGCCGGGCGACGGUUGUCCCGGUUUAAGCGUGUAGGCUGGUUUUCCAGGCAAAUCCGGAAAAUCAAGGCUGAGGCGUGAUGACGAGGCACUACGGUGCUGAAGCAACAAAUGCCCUGCUUCCAGGAAAAGCCUCUAAGCAUCAGGUAACAUCAAAUCGUACCCCAAACCGACACAGGUGGUCAGGUAGAGAAUACCAAGGCGCUUGAGAGAACUCGGGUGAAGGAACUAGGCAAAAUGGUGCCGUAACUUCGGGAGAAGGCACGCUGAUAUGUAGGUGAAGUCCCUCGCGGAUGGAGCUGAAAUCAGUCGAAGAUACCAGCUGGCUGCAACUGUUUAUUAAAAACACAGCACUGUGCAAACACGAAAGUGGACGUAUACGGUGUGACGCCUGCCCGGUGCCGGAAGGUUAAUUGAUGGGGUCAGCGCAAGCGAAGCUCUUGAUCGAAGCCCCGGUAAACGGCGGCCGUAACUAUAACGGUCCUAAGGUAGCGAAAUUCCUUGUCGGGUAAGUUCCGACCUGCACGAAUGGCGUAAUGAUGGCCAGGCUGUCUCCACCCGAGACUCAGUGAAAUUGAACUCGCUGUGAAGAUGCAGUGUACCCGCGGCAAGACGGAAAGACCCCGUGAACCUUUACUAUAGCUUGACACUGAACAUUGAGCCUUGAUGUGUAGGAUAGGUGGGAGGCUUAGAAGUGUGGACGCCAGUCUGCAUGGAGCCGACCUUGAAAUACCACCCUUUAAUGUUUGAUGUUCUAACGUUGACCCGUAAUCCGGGUUGCGGACAGUGUCUGGUGGGUAGUUUGACUGGGGCGGUCUCCUCCUAAAGAGUAACGGAGGAGCACGAAGGUUGGCUAAUCCUGGUCGGACAUCAGGAGGUUAGUGCAAUGGCAUAAGCCAGCUUGACUGCGAGCGUGACGGCGCGAGCAGGUGCGAAAGCAGGUCAUAGUGAUCCGGUGGUUCUGAAUGGAAGGGCCAUCGCUCAACGGAUAAAAGGUACUCCGGGGAUAACAGGCUGAUACCGCCCAAGAGUUCAUAUCGACGGCGGUGUUUGGCACCUCGAUGUCGGCUCAUCACAUCCUGGGGCUGAAGUAGGUCCCAAGGGUAUGGCUGUUCGCCAUUUAAAGUGGUACGCGAGCUGGGUUUAGAACGUCGUGAGACAGUUCGGUCCCUAUCUGCCGUGGGCGCUGGAGAACUGAGGGGGGCUGCUCCUAGUACGAGAGGACCGGAGUGGACGCAUCACUGGUGUUCGGGUUGUCAUGCCAAUGGCACUGCCCGGUAGCUAAAUGCGGAAGAGAUAAGUGCUGAAAGCAUCUAAGCACGAAACUUGCCCCGAGAUGAGUUCUCCCUGACUCCUUGA